GCCCGCCUAGCUCAAUCGGAUAGAGCGUCAGACUCUUAAGGCUAGGCGAUCUGAAGGCUGCGAGUUCGACCCUCGCGGUGGGCU